rnacentral:rRNA from 1 species
GAGUUGAAUUCGAUGUCGUCAGGAUGAACGCUGGCGGCGUGCAUAACACAUUCAAGUCGAACGGACUGAUUGGUAGCUUGCUACCGAUGAAAGUAGUGGCGGACGGGUGAGUAACGCGUGAGCAACCUGCCUCUGUGUGUGGGAUACCGUCUGGAAACGGACGUUAAUACCGCAUGACCCAUAGAGAUCGCAUGUUUUUUAUGGCAAAGAUUUAUUGCACAGAGAUGGGCUCGCGUCUGAUUAGGCAGUUGGUGAGGUAACGGCCCACCAAACCUACGAUCAGUAGCCGGACUGAGAGGUUGAACGGCCACAUUGGAACUGAGAGACGGUCCAGACUCCUACGGGAGGCAGCAGUGGGGAAUAUUGGGCAAUGGGCGAAAGCCUGACCCAGCGACGCCGCGUGAAGGAAGACGGUCUUCGGAUUGUAAACUUCUUUUAUGUGGGACGAUACAAGACGGUACCACAUGAAUAAGCCACGGCUAACUACGUGCCAGCCGCAGC